UUUCCGUAGGUGAACCUGCGGAAGGAUCAUUAAUGAGUUGUCAUGGGGUUCGAUGCUGGCAGCCAGUUUUUGGAUGCAUGUGCUUGCCCUAACAAUCAUCUUCUUCCAAACACCUGUGCACAUUUUUGAGGGAGUCUUGAGUUGGUUGCCGCUCUUGGGUGAUUUUCUCACAUUCCCUUAAAUCAUUAUACGCUAUUAACAAUGUUGAACGUGCUCUGUGCCGCAAGGCCAUUAAUAUAAUACAACUUUUAACAACGGAUCUCUUGGCUCUCGCAUCGAUGAAGACGCAGC
rnacentral:misc_RNA from 1 species